UAUGGCCACAUCAUGUUCAAACACCAGAUCCUGUACAAUCACCAAAGUUAAACAAUGUUGAGCCUGGUCAGUACCUAGAUGGGUACCUGCUUGGGAAUACCAGCUGCUGUAA